AGGAUAAAACAAGGCAAGAAGUUUCAUGGACAAGAUGCUUCACCUCCUGCCUCUGCUCCUGGAAUCCAUGCCCCGUGUUGUUACCUGCACCUUUUUUCCUUUCCCAACCAAACUCUCUGAAACGCAGGCACUGAUUCUGUGGCCAGGUCAGCAUCGUCCCUCCUUUUAUCCCACAUGACAGAUUUUGUUCCAGGAGCCCUGACCGUGUGCAUGCUAAGUGAGGAGCUCCUUCUGGACAGAUAUCGGCAGCCUUUUGAUUUUGAUCUUCCCAGUCAACCUUUCACAGACAGUCUCCUCAAAAUAACAUAGCAGACCUGCCACAGCCGGUAACAUAUCAAAAGUUAACAUGCUUUGUUAAAAAAUACAUUGUGAGGAUUUUUAUAUUUUUAUAUUAAAGUGGAAGAAGUCUCCAUGAGGUACAGAAAAGGGGUUAUUUUCUAUUCUGCUGAUGAAAAGGAAGUCAUGUUUUCCUGACUUGCUUUAUGGAUGAUUUAUUUUGAUAUGACACAUUCAGUUUUGGUCCUUAAAAGCAAUCUCUUCUGUCCCCACCCACCCUCCUCAGCCCAGAAGGCCUUUUUGAAUGACAUAAAAACCUAGUGUUCAAAAAUAAUUUCCUUGGGUAAGUUCUGAGCCUUAUCUGAGGUGUGUUGGAGAAGUAUGGAGAAAACACUCUCACAAAGGACCUUCACCAACAAUACUGAGGGGAAGCCACUAGCUGAUUUGUGAAGUCAGUAAAUAGCAAUGACUGCAAGCGGCAUGACUAAAUAUCCAUCAUUUUGCUCCAGCCUUUUGAAAAUGGUUUUACCUUCUGAAUGACCUGUAGAUGAGGAGGAAUCAUUUAAUCCAUCAUUGACUGAUGGUGACAAUCAUAAACAUGCUGUCAUUGGUUUUAUCUGUAACAGUUAAUGGAAAUCUCAAAAAAAUGUAAGGUCUUGUGAAGAAAAAUGAAGACAAUAGGGAUUUAGAGUACUGGAAGUCAAUUUAAAACAGCUUGCUGUAUAGGAAAGAUAGUAUUUUUUCUGACUAAGCCUGCAAAGGAGGACUUUUGAAUAGUCAUUCAUUAAUAUACUGUAACUAUUAGUUAAUGUUUAACAAGUCAACCUGGUUAUGCUGCUAUGCUGUGUGACAUUUCAUAGCAACAGCACUUGAAAUAUUUAUUUACUUAUUGUUUCCUUUCCAUAAAUAAUGAAAUACCUGAGAUCUUAUUUGCAUUUCCCUUGUUAAACAAAACACACUCAUGUGUACAUUUAAAUGGGCCACAUUUCCCUUUUUGAGCUGCCAGAGACUUCAGCUAUUUCUAUAUAGAGCAGCUUACCCUCAUGGCAGAGUGAAAUUUAUUAAUUUGUCUCUAUUUUUUAAAAUAAAACUUUCAUACGAUCUGUUUCAUGUGCUUUCUGUUCCAUAAUCCAAAAGAUUGCAUCAAAGAAUAGCUGGUGGGAAGCUGGUUUUACUCUCCAAGUGGUGUGCUCUUUGCAGAGCAUGUACCUGAACAGGUGCCAGAAUGUGGGCUGCCGUUUCUAAAUUCGGGUAUUAGGUGUCAAAAGAGAAGUGGCCUAAUUUACAAUGUUGUAAAGGUUUGCAGCUUUAUUGAGGUGAAGAAGUUAAACUUUGACAUCACUGAGAUUUUUAGUGAAAGGCUCUGAUUCUCAGCUAUUUAGCUGAAGAGUUAACAGUGGCUGGUAUAAAUCAAAUGAUUACAGAUGCAAUUAAAGCAACAAGUCCAGCGUGCAGGCAUGCAACACACUUCUACCCUCCGUGGCAAAGAGGAGGCUGCAGAGCACAAAUACCACCUCAUCAGAUGCACCAUCUCCCCUCCGUGAGGCUAUGGCACCAUCUGCAGCUGUUUGCCAGCUAUGCUGGUCUGUCUGCUCAAUCCCUGCAUUCAUCUGUGCUUUCCUGUCAUUCAGCUGAGGACGUUCAGUGCGAUGUAAAGAGCUGGAUCAGGCUGCUCUCCUCAGUCCUGCUCUCCACCUUCACACAUGAUAUGCACACUCCAGAUGCUGUCCCAGGCUUGCUUCCCCCAUCUCCUUAGCCCAGUGCUCUGGUUCAUCACAGUUCCCCCUUCCACAGUGCAUCCUUGGGUCCAGCCCCAAAUCCAGCAACAUUAUACAUAAAUCCUGACUGUGUUUCUAUAAUCUUGAAAGUUCCUGCAGGUUCAGUGCAAUAGUCCUUUAAUAUAUGCUGUUUUGCUACUUCUAUUUUUUUGUAUUUUUCUU